CCCUUAGAUGUUCUGGGCAGCACGCGCGCUACAAUGGUCUUCGCAAACGGAUGCAUUCUCGAAGGAGAAUGCCAAUCUUGGAAUCUAUGCCUUGGUUGGGACAGUUGCUUGCAAUUUUUCGACUCGAACCAGGAAUUCCUUGUAAUCGUGAUUCAUCACAUCACGAUGAAUACGUCCCUGCCCUUUGUACACACCGCCCGUCGCUCCUACCGAUCGAAGAGUUAGGUGAAUUGUUUUGAUCGAUAAGAUUUGACUAUGGUCAACUCUCGUUGUGAAAUUCUGUGAAUCUGACUGUUUAGAGGAAGGAAAAGUCGUAACA
rnacentral:rRNA from 1 species